rnacentral:tRNA from 1 species
AAAAAUGAAAAAAUAUUAGUUUCGACCUAAUAAUAGAUAUUAAUUUAUCCAUUUUUA